rnacentral:rRNA from 1 species
GAUGAACGCUGGCGGCGUGCCUAAUACAUGCCAGUCGAGCGAACAGAUAAGGAGCUUGCUCCUUUGACGUUAGCGGCGGACGGGUGAGUAACACGUGGGUAACCUACCUAUAAGACUGGGAUAACUUCGGGAAACCGGAGCUAAUACCGGAUAACAUUUGGAACCGCAUGGUUCUAAAGUGAAAGAUGGUUUUGCUAUCACUUAUAGAUGGACCCGCGCCGUAUUAGCUAGUUGGUAAGGUAACGGCUUACCAAGGCGACGAUACGCAGCCGACCUGAGAGGGUGAUCGGCCACACUGGAACUGAGACACGGUCCAGACUCCUACGGGAGGCAGCAGUAGGGAAUCUUCCGCAAUGGGCGAAAGCCUGACGGAGCAACGCCGCGUGAGUGAUGAAGGGUUUCGGCUCGUAAAACUCUGUUAUUAGGGAAGAAAAAAUGUGUAAGUAACUGUGCACGUCUUGACGGUACCUAAUCAGAAAGCCACGGCUAACUACGUG